rnacentral:lncRNA from 1 species
AGCCCAAGAGGAUUGGAUAAUGUCAAUGAGUUGGCAUACAUUAUUUCUUCAUUAUUUCUACAUUAUUUUCUAAUUAUCUCUAAGUGGUGUGUGGAAUAAAUUGGAAGAAUGGGUGGCGCCUACCUUUAUUUUUGGUAGGACCUUGGGCGCCAAUCCCAUGGAUGUGCAUGAGGGGCCCAUCCCCUUAUAUGGCAUGGCAUGGAGGAGAG